rnacentral:rRNA from 1 species
CAAUAGCGUAUACUAACGUUGUUGCAGUUAAAAGCUCGUAGUUGGAUUUCUGUGAUGGGCAGCCGGCCGGCUCUUCGGAGUUGUAGCUAGGUUUGUUUGUCGCAUCUUGUCGUAAUUCUCACUGGUCUUAAUUGAUUGGUGCAGAGGACCGACUCGUUUACUUUGAAAAAUUAGAGUGUUCAAAGCAGGCGUCGGCUUGAAUACAUUAGCAUGGAAUAAUGGAAUAGGACUUUGGUUCUAUUUUGUUGGUUUCUAGGACCGAAGUAAUGAUUAAUAGGGACAGUUGGGGGCAUUAGUAUUUAAUUGUCAGAGGUGAAAUUCUUGGAUUUAUGAAAGACUAACUACUGCGAAAGCAUUUGCCAAGGAUGUUUUCAUUAAUCAAGAACGAAAGUUAGGGGAUCGAAGAUGAUCAGAUACCGU